UCCCUGGUGGCUCAGAGGGUAAAGCAUCUGCCUGCAAUGCGGGAGACCUGGGUUCGAUCCCUGGGUGGGGAA
rfam:TPA: Bos taurus chromosome 3, whole genome shotgun sequence.